rnacentral:rRNA from 1 species
AACAGCUCAAAUUUGAAAUCUGGCUCCUUCGGGGUCCGAGUUGUAAUUUGUAGAGGGUGUUUCGGGCGCGAUGCCGGUCUAAGUUCCUUGGAACAGGACGUCGUAGAGGGUGAGAAUCCCGUAUGCGACCGGCGAUCAAGCCCGUGCGAAGCCCCUUCGACGAGUCGAGUUGUUUGGGAAUGCAGCUCAAAAUGGGUGGUAAAUUUCAUCUAAAGCUAAAUACCGGCCAGAGACCGAUAGCGGACAAGUAGAGUGAUCGAAAGAUGAAAAGCACUUUGGAAAGAGAGUCAAACAGUACGUGAAAUUGUUGAAAGGGAAGCGCUUGCAAUCAGACCGGUCCGGAGGCGAUCAGCCGCUGCUCGUCAGCGGUGCACUCGCCUGCGAUCCGGCCAGCAUCGGUUUGGGCGGCGGGACAAAAGUCCCGGGAAUGUAGCUUCUCUCGGGGAGUCUUAUAGCCCGGGUCGCAAUGCCGCCCGCCCGGACCGAGGACCGCGCUUCGGCUAGGAUGCUGGCGUAAUGGUUGCAAGCGACCCGUCUUGAAACACGGACCAAGGAGUCUAACAUCUAUGCGAGUGUUUGGGUGUCAAACCCGGGCGCGGAAUGAAAGUGAACGGAGGUGGGAACCCGUCAGACGGCGCACCAUCGACCGAUCCAGAUGUCUUCGGAUGGAUUUGAGUAUGAGCAUAGCUGUUGGGACCCGAAAGAUGGUGAACUAUGCCCGGAUAGGGUGAAGCCAGAGGAAACUCUGGUGGAGGCUCGCAGCGGUUCUGACGUGCAAAUCGAUCGUCAAAUCUAGGCAUAGGGGCGAAAGACCAAUCGAACCAUCU